GGCCUCCCUGAACUGCCGCCAGCGGGACCUUCGCCCUCCGCCGCCGUCUGAGGAAACGAGCGGGCGCUUUGAAGUGCAGGCAACAGGCGAAGAGAUCUCUGUGCUAGAACAGAAAUGCCUACUUCCUUUCCUCUGUGGUUUUCUCCAGUUCCCCCUCCUAUCCUGCUCCUCAUCCAGGCAUAUUAGCAGAAUAAUUCUUUAAAACUGGGCGGUGUCGAAUGAAA
rnacentral:lncRNA from 1 species